rnacentral:rRNA from 1 species
AAAAAAAAAAAAAAAAAAAAAAAAACAAUAAAACAAUAAAACAAUAAAAUAAAUACAAAAUGGCA